CUCGGAGUUUGAUCCUGGCUCAGAUUGAACGCUGGCGGUAUGCCUUACACAUGCAAGUCGAACGGUAGGGGGAGCAAUCCCCUGAGAGUGGCGAACGGGUGAGUAAUACAUCGGAACGUGCCCAGCCGUGGGGGAUAACGUAGCGAAAGCUACGCUAAUACCGCAUACGACCUGAGGGUGAAAGCGGGGGACCGUAAGGCCUCGCGCGAUUGGAGCGGCCGAUGGCAGAUUAGGUAGUUGGUGGGGUAAAGGCCUACCAAGCCAACGAUCUGUAGCUGGUCUGAGAGGACGACCAGCCACACUGGGACUGAGACACGGUCCAGACUCCUAUGGGAGCAGCAGUGGGGAAUUUGGACAAUGGACGAAGUCUGAUCCAGCCAUUCCCGCGUGCAGGAUGAAGGCCCU
rnacentral:rRNA from 1 species